GUGGUACUUACCAAAGUGUUGGGUUUUAAAAGCCGCGUGUAUUAUAUUAGUGUAGUGGAACAAUUUAGUUAAAUGGGCCUAACAGUCGGAAAGCAUAGAAAAUAGCGGCCUUAAAGCAAUCGAUAUUAUAUAAUAAAAGGGCCUAAAUGAUAAUGCCCCAAAUCCAAAAGCAAUUACUACGAUGUGGAUUACAACACGUGGCAGAAAUCUAACGCUAUAUGGUCACUCCUUUCGUUUUCAGUUCCCAAAUCCCGAUAAUGAUCUCGAGCCACACAGCCAUCGGACAUAUCCAGCCGCCGCAUAAACCGGUCAUUACCCUUCAUAACCAACAUGCCGGUUUUAGUUUAGUG
rnacentral:lncRNA from 1 species